rnacentral:rRNA from 1 species
CCUACGGGUGGCAGCAGUGGGGGAUAUUGCACAAUGGGGGAAACCCUGAUGCAGCGACGCCGCGUGGGCGAAGAAGUAUUUCGGUAUGUAAAGCCCCAUCAGCAGGGAAGAAGAAAUGACGGUACCUGAGUCAGAAGCCCCGGCUAACUACGUGCCAGCAGCCGCGGUCAUACGUAGGGGGCAAGCGUUAUCCGGAUUUACUGGGUGUAAAGGGAGCGUAGACGGCAGUGCAAGUCUGGAGUGAAAGGCGGGGGCUCAACCCCCGGACUGCUCUGGAAACUGUACGGCUGGAGUGCAGUAGAGGUAAGUGGAAUUCGUAGUGUAGCGGUGAAAUGCGUAGAUAUUAGGAGGAACACCAGUGGCGAAGGCGGCUUACUGGACUGUAACUGACGUUGAGGCUCGAAAGCGUGGGGAGCAAACAGGAUUAGAUACCCCGGUAGUC